CUAGUCUGACUCUGUGAAGAGACAUGAAAGGUGUAGCAUAGGUGGGAGGCUGCAGUAGGGCGCUGUUCGGUGUCUCUGUGGUCGCCAAUGAAAUACCACUACUUUGAUCGUUUCUUUACUUAUUCGGUAAAGCGAAAAAAUUGUGGCCAAUUUGGCGGUCUGUCCGCUGUUGGUCAUUGUUUUAAUGUUGGAUUGAAGCUUUGUUUAUAGCCGUCGNCCGACUCUUUCACGGUGUUCGGAGCGCUCUCGUCGGUACGUGAAAAUCCGAGCGACGCCUGGUAAAUCUCGUACUUGGUCGUACUGAUAUCCGCAGCAGGUCUCCAAGGUGAAUAGCCUCUGGCCGAUAGAAUAAUGUAGGUAAGG
rnacentral:ncRNA from 1 species